rnacentral:rRNA from 1 species
CAGUAGCCACGGUAAUACGAAGGGUGCAAGCGUUAAUCGGAAUUACUGGGCGUAAAGCGUGCGUAGGCGGUUUGUUAAGUCUGUUGUGAAAGCCCUGGGCUCAACCUGGGAAUUGCAGUGGAUACUGGAUCACUAGAGUGUGGUAGAGGAUAGUGGAAUUUCCGGUGUAGCAGUGAAAUGCGUAGAGAUCGGAAGGAACAUCUGUGGCGAAGGCGACUAUCUGGGCCAACACUGACACUGAGGCACGAAAGCGUGGGGAGCAAACAGGAUUAGAUACCCGCGUAGUCCCUGUCUCUUAUAC